rnacentral:rRNA from 1 species
AGUCGAACGCGAAAGCCUCCUUCGGGGGGCAAGUAGAGUGGCGCACGGGUGAGUAACACGUAGGUAAUCUACCUUUGGAUUGGGAAUAACAACCGGAAACGGUUGCUAAUACCGAAUAAUGCAGCGGCACCUAAUGGUGACAGUUGUUAAAGCGGGGGAUCGCAAGACCUCGCGUCUGAAGAGGAGCCUGCGGCAGAUUAGCUAGUUGGUAAGGUAACGGCUUACCAAGGCGAUGAUCUGUAGCCGGCCUGAGAGGGCGGUCGGCCACACUGACACUGACAUACGGGUCAGACUCCUACGGGAGGCAGCAGUCGGGAAUUUUGGGCAAUGGGCGAAAGCCUGACCCAGCAACGCCGCGUGAAGGAUGAAAUCCUUCGGGAUGUAAACUUCGCAAGAACGGGAAGAAUAAGUAAGAGUUAAUAUCUCUUACGAUGACGGUACUGUUUGUAAGCUCCGGCUAACUCCGUGCCAGCAGCCGCGGUAAUACGGGGGGAGCAAGCGUUGUUCGGAUUUACUGGGCGUAAAGGGCGCGUAGGCGGCCACCGCAAGUCGACUGUGAAAUCUCCGGGCUUAACCCGGAAAGGUCAGCCGAUACUGCGGGGCUAGAGUGCAGAAGGGGCAACUGGAAUUCUCGGUGUAGCGGUGAAAUGCGUAGAUAUCGAGAGGAACACCUGCGGCGAAAGCGGGUUGCUGGGCUGACACUGACGCUGAAGCGCGAAAGCUAGGGGAGCGAACGGGAUUAGAUACCCCGGGUAGUCCUAGCCUUAAACGAUGAAUGCUUGGUGUCUG